rnacentral:rRNA from 1 species
GACGAACGCUGGCGGCGUGCCUAAUACAUGCAAGUAGAACGCUGAAGGAGGAGCUUUCUUCUCUGGAUGAGUUGCGAACGGGUGAGUAACGCGUAGGUAACCUGCCUGGUACCUUGGGAUAACUAUUGGAAACUAUAGCUAAUACCGCAUAAGAGUAGCUGUUGCAUGACAUUUGCUUAAAAGGUGCAAUUGCAUCACUACCACUUGGACCUGCGUUGUAUUAGCUAGUUGGUGGGGUAACGGCUCACCAAGGCGACGAUACAUAGACGACCUGAGACGGUGGACAGCCACACUGAGAGGGAGACAGGGCACAGUGGGCCUCAGAAAGAAGCAAGAGGGAAGCGUGAGGAAGGGAAGGAAGACAGACCGAGAAAGGCAGAGGGAGGGAAGAAGAUUGUCGGAUCGUAAAGGUCGGUUGUAAGAGAAGAACGAGAGUGAGAGUGGAAAGAACACUGAGUGACGGUACCUUAUAAGGAAGAGACGGCUAACUACGUG